rnacentral:rRNA from 1 species
AAGGUUAAGCCUCACGGUUCAUUAGUACCGGUUAGCUCAACGCAUCGCUGCGCUUACACACCCGGCCUAUCAACGUCGUCGUCUUCAACGUUCCUUCAGGACUCUCAAGGAGUCAGGGAGAACUCAUCUCGGGGCAAGUUUCGUGCUUAGAUGCUUUCAGCACUUAUCUCUUCCGCAUUUAGCUACCGGGCAGUGCCAUUGGCAUGACAACCCGAACACCAGUGAUGCGUCCACUCCGGUCCUCUCGUACUAGGAGCAGCCCCCCUCAGUUCUCCAGCGCCCACGGCAGAUAGGGACCGAACUGUCUCACGACGUUCUAAACCCAGCUCGCGUACCACUUUAAAUGGCGAACAGCCAUACCCUUGGGACCUACUUCAGCCCCAGGAUGUGAUGAGCCGACAUCGAGGUGCCAAACACCGCCGUCGAUAUGAACUCUUGGGCGGUAUCAGCCUGUUAUCCCCGGAGUACCUUUUAUCCGUUGAGCGAUGGCCCUUCCAUUCAGAACCACCGGAUCACUAUGACCUGCUUUCGCACCUGCUCGCGCCGUCACGCUCGCAGUCAAGCUGGCUUAUGCCAUUGCACUAACCUCCUGAUGUCCGACCAGGAUUAGCCAACCUUCGUGCUCCUCCGUUACUCUUUAGGAGGAGACCGCCCCAGUCAAACUACCCACCAGACACUGUCCGCAACCCGGAUCACGGGUCAACGUUAGAACAUCAAACAUUAAAGGGUGGUAUUUCAAGGUCGGCUCCAUGCAGACUGGCGUCCACACUUCAAAGCCUCCCACCUAUCCUACACAUCAAGGCUCAAUGUUCAGUGUCAAGCUAUAGUAAAGGUUCACGGGGUCUUUCCGUCUUGCCGCGGGUACACUGCAUCUUCACAGCGAGUUCAAUUUCACUGAGUCUCGGGUGGAGACAGCCUGGCCAUCAUUACGCCAUUCGUGCAGGUCGGAACUUACCCGACAAGGAAUUUCGCUACCUUAGGACCGUUAUAGUUACGGCCGCCGUUUACCGGGGCUUCGAUCAAGAGCUUCGCUUGCGCUGACCCCAUCAAUUAACCUUCCGGCACCGGGCAGGCGUCACACCGUAUACGUCCACUUUCGUGUUUGCACAGUGCUGUGUUUUUAAUAAACAGUUGCAGCCAGCUGGUAUCUUCGACUGAUUUCAGCUCCAUCCGCGAGGGACUUCACCUACAUAUCAGCGUGCCUUCUCCCGAAGUUACGGCACCAUUUUGCCUAGUUCCUUCACCCGAGUUCUCUCAAGCGCCUUGGUAUUCUCUACCUGACCACCUGUGUCGGUUUGGGGUACGAUUUGAUGUUACCUGAUGCUUAGAGGCUUUUCCUGGAAGCAGGGCAUUUGUUGCUUCAGCACCGUAGUGCCUCGUCAUCACGCCUCAGCCUUGAUUUUCCGGAUUUGCCUGGAAAACCAGCCUACACGCUUAAACCGGGACAACCGUCGCCCGGCCAACAUAGCCUUCUCCGUCCCCCCUUCGCAGUAACACCAAGUACAGGAAUAUUAACCUGUUUCCCAUCGACUACGCCUUUCGGCCUCGCCUUAGGGGUCGACUCACCCUGCCCCGAUUAACGUUGGACAGGAACCCUUGGUCUUCCGGCGAGCGGGCUUUUCACCCGCUUUAUCGUUACUUAUGUCAGCAUUCGCACUUCUGAUACCUCCAGCAUACCUCACAGUACACCUUCACAGGCUUACAGAACGCUCCCCUACCCAACAACGCAUAAGCGUCGCUGCCGCAGCUUCGGUGCAUGGUUUAGCCCCGUUACAUCUUCCGCGCAGGCCGACUCGACCAGUGAGCUAUUACGCUUUCUUUAAAUGAUGGCUGCUUCUAAGCCAACAUCCUGGCUGUCUGGGCCUUCCCACAUCGUUUCCCACUUAACCAUGACUUUGGGACCUUAGCUGGCGGUCUGGGUUGUUUCCCUCUUCACGACGGACGUUAGCACCCGCCGUGUGUCUCCCGUGAUAACAUUCUCCGGUAUUCGCAGUUUGCAUCGGGUUGGUAAGUCGGGAUGACCCCCUUGCCGAAACAGUGCUCUACCCCCGGAGAUGAAUUCACGAGGCGCUACCUAAAUAGCUUUCGGGGAGAACCAGCUAUCUCCCGGUUUGAUUGGCCUUUCACCCCCAGCCACAAGUCAUCCGCUAAUUUUUCAACAUUAGUCGGUUCGGUCCUCCAGUUAGUGUUACCCAACCUUCAACCUGCCCAUGGCUAGAUCACCGGGUUUCGGGUCUAUACCCUGCAACUUAACGCCCAGUUAAGACUCGGUUUCCCUUCGGCUCCCCUAUUCGGUUAACCUUGCUACAGAAUAUAAGUCGCUGACCCAUUAUACAAAAGGUACGCAGUCACACGCCUAAGCGUGCUCCCACUGCUUGUACGUACACGGUUUCAGGUUCUUUUUCACUCCCCUCGCCGGGGUUCUUUUCGCCUUUCCCUCACGGUACUGGUUCACUAUCGGUCAGUCAGGAGUAUUUAGCCUUGGAGGAUGGUCCCCCCAUAUUCAGACAGGAUACCACGUGUCCCGCCCUACUCAUCGAGCUCACAGCAUGUGCAUUUUUGUGUACGGGGCUGUCACCCUGUAUCGCGCGCCUUUCCAGACGCUUCCACUAACACACACACUGAUUCAGGCUCUGGGCUGCUCCCCGUUCGCUCGCCGCUACUGGGGGAAUCUCGGUUGAUUUCUUUUCCUCGGGGUACUUAGAUGUUUCAGUUCCCCCGGUUCGCCUCAUUAACCUAUGGAUUCAGUUAAUGAUAGUGUGACGAAUCACACUGGGUUUCCCCAUUCGGAAAUCGCCGGUUAUAACGGUUCAUAUCACCUUACCGACGCUUAUCGCAGAUUAGCACGUCCUUCAUCGCCUCUGACUGCCAGGGCAUCCACCGUGUACGCUUAGUCGCUUAA